CGGGGCCUAUGCCCUGUGUGUCCUGUAUCAGAAGCAUGUACAUACUUACAGGAUCUUACCCGAUGAAGAUGAUUUUCUGGCAGUACAGACUUCUCAAGGCGUGCAGGUGAGACGCUUCAAAACACUGACUGAACUUAUCACGUCCUACCUCCAGCCAAACCAGGGCCUGGUCAGUACACUGCUGUAUCCUGUAGAGAGGGAGGACAAGAAGGAGACAGCCGAGGACAAGGACUACUCAGAUGGUGAAGAUGAGAAGCCACCUUUACCCCCUCGCUCUGCUUCUACCAGUUUCAGUGGCAGUGCUGGCACUUGCCUUAGUCCGGUCGCGCAAGAUGGAGCAGCAGACAG